rnacentral:rRNA from 1 species
AUUGAACGCUGGCGGCAGGCCUAACACAUGCAAGUCGAACGGUAACAGGAAACAGCUUGCUGUUUCGCUGACGAGUGGCGGACGGGUGAGUAAUGUCUGGGAAACUGCCUGAUGGAGGGGGAUAACUACUGGAAACGGUAACUAAUACCGCAUAACGUCGCAAGACCAAAGAGGGGGACCUUCGGGCCUCUUGCCAUCGGAUGUGCCCAGAUGGGAUUAGCUAGUAGGUGGGGUAACGGCUCACCUAGGCGACGAUCCCUAGCUGGUCUGAGAGGAUGACCAGCCACACUGGAACUGAGACACGGUCCAGACUCCUACGGGAGGCAGCAGUGGGGAAUAUUGCACAACGGGCGCAAGCCUGAUGCAGCCAUGCCGCGUGUAUGAAGAAGGCCUUCGGGUUGUAAAGUACUUUCAGCGGGGAGGAAGGGAGUAAAGUUAAUACCUUUGCUCAUUGACGUACC